rnacentral:lncRNA from 1 species
UCACACCCUCCAAGGCCGUGCUGGGGGGAGUGGGGAUGGAUUUGGGGGUCCCAUCCCGGCCUCGGGGAUUUGGGGGUGAGGUGGGAAGGUGGGAAGGUGGGAAGGGCUCCUUACCACGAUGCUGGAGGGAGAGCCGGGAACGCUGGAUCCGCGGGAAGAGCAGACGCUCCCAGGGGAGGUCAGAGGCUGCUGGAUGGAAAAUGGGGAGGGGGCUCAGCCCAGGGGGUUUGGGGACAGCCCUGUGUCAGAAUUCGGGACAUCCGUCUGUCUGUCCUUGCUCAAACCCCUGCCAGGGGGCUCAGAGACCCUCUGAGACCCCUGAGAUUUUGAUUUUAACCCAUUGGAAAAAAAUUAUCAACCUUAUUGAAGACCUGCAAGCCACGAAAGUUUAAGUAGAAUGAUAGUGAAUUUAUCAUGGGGUGAAAAAAUUAAUUUUUUGGGGGUUUUUAGAAUGGGGGCUCAGAGACCCUGGCACAGAGCCCAAGACCCCGUGCCUUUGAUUUAGCCCUUGGGAAAAACAAUUACCAAGNUUUUGGGGGUUUUUAGAAUGGGGGCUCAGAGACCCUGGCACAGAGCCCAAGACCCCGUGCCUUUGAUUUAGCCCUUGGGAAAAACAAUUACCAAGCAUUACAAGUCAAAAGAGUUUAAGUAGAAUAAUUGUUAGUUUGUCACAGGGUGGAAAAUAGAAUUUUUUGGGGGUUUUUAGAAUGGGGGCUCAGAGACCUUGUCACAGAGCUUGAGACCUGAGAUUUUGAUUUUAACCCAUUGGAAAAAAUAAUCAACCUUAUUGAAGGCCUGCAAGCCACGAAAGUUUAAGUAGAAUGAUAAUGAAUUUAUCAUGGGGUGAAAAAUCGAUUUUUUGGGGUUUUGGGUAUGGGGGUUCAGGAGGCAAAAUGGAAAAAUCUGGGCAUGUCCAGCCUUUCUCCUCCUCCUUCUUGGCCUCCAUCUCCUGCUCUGAUGGUGGCACUUUUGGGUUGGUUUAGAGCAGAAGCUCACUGUCUAACAUAGGGGAUAGGUGUUGGAAAAUUAUUGUAAAUAUUGUACAUGUAGUUUUUAGUAUAAAAAGAUAACUGAGGGUGUCAGAGUGCUUCUGUCUGACCUGCUGGACAGACCUCAGCAGGGCAGGGAAAGAAUUUUAUAAAUAAGAUACAACAAACAACCU